rnacentral:tRNA from 1 species
GCCUGGGUGGCUCAGUGGUUGAGCGUCUGCCUUUGGCUCAGAUCAUGAUCCCAGGGUCUUGGGAUCGAGUCCCGCAUCGGGCU